rnacentral:rRNA from 1 species
GCUCAGAUUGAACGCUGGCGGCAGGCCUAACACAUGCAAGUCGAACGGUAACAGGAAGCAGCUUGCUGCUUCGCUGACGAGUGGCGGACGGGUGAGUAAUGUCUGGGAAGCUGCCUGAUGGAGGGGGAUAACUACUGGAAACGGUAGCUAAUACCGCAUAAUGUCGCAAGACCAAAGAGGGGGACCUUCGGGCCUCUUGCCAUCGGAUGUGCCCAGAUGGGAUUAGCUUGUUGGUGGGGUAACGGCUCACCAAGGCGACGAUCCCUAGCUGGUCUGAGAGGAUGACCAGCCACACUGGAACUGAGACACGGUCCAGACUCCUACGGGAGGCAGCAGUGGGGAAUAUUGCACAAUGGGCGCAAGCCUGAUGCAGCCAUGCCGCGUGUAUGAAGAAGGCCUUCGGGUUGUAAAGUACUUUCAGCGGGGAGGAAGGGAGUAAAGUUAAUACCUUUGCUCAUUGACGUUACCCGCAGAAGAAGCACCGGCUAACUCCGUGCCAGCAGCCGCGGUAAUACGGAGGGUGCAAGCGUUAAUCGGAAUUACUGGGCGUAAAGCGCACGCAGGCGGUUUGUUAAGUCAGAUGUGAAAUCCCCGGGCUCAACCUGGGAACUGCAUCUGAUACUGGCAAGCUUGAGUCUCGUAGAGGGGGGUAGAAUUCCAGGUGUAGCGGUGAAAUGCGUAGAGAUCUGGAGGAAUACCGGUGGCGAAGGCGGCCCCCUGGACGAAGACUGACGCUCAGGUGCGAAAGCGUGGGGAGCAAACAGGAUUAGAUACCCUGGUAGUCCACGCCGUAAACGAUGUCGACUUGGAGGUUGUGCCCUUGAGGCGUGGCUUCCGGAGCUAACGCGUUAAGUCGACCGCCUGGGGAGUACGGCCGCAAGGUAAAAACUCAAAUGAAUUGACGGGGGCCCGCACAAGCGGUGGAGCAUGUGGUUUAAUUCGAUGCAACGCGAAGAACCUUACCUGGUCUUGACAUCCACGGAAGUUUUCAGAGAUGAGAAUGUGCCUUCGGGAACCGUGAGACAGGUGCUGCAUGGCUGUCGUCAGCUCGUGUUGUGAAAUGUUGGGUUAAGUCCCGCAACGAGCGCAACCCUUAUCCUUUGUUGCCAGCGGUCCGGCCGGGAACUCAAAGGAGACUGCCAGUGAUAAACUGGAGGAAGGUGGGGAUGACGUCAAGUCAUCAUGGCCCUUACGACCAGGGCUACACACGUGCUACAAUGGCGCAUACAAAGAGAAGCGACCUCGCGAGAGCAAGCGGACCUCAUAAAGUGCGUCGUAGUCCGGAUUGGAGUCUGCAACUCGACUCCAUGAAGUCGGAAUCGCUAGUAAUCGUGGAUCAGAAUGCCACGGUGAAUACGUUCCCGGGCCUUGUACACACCGCCCGUCACACCAUGGGAGUGGGUUGCAAAAGAAGUAGGUAGCUUAACCUUCGGGAGGGCGCUUACCACUUUGUGAUUCAUGACUGGGGUGAAGUCGUAACAAGGUAACCGUAGGGGAACCUGCGGUUG